rnacentral:lncRNA from 1 species
CUGGCAGAGGGCAGUGGGGAGCAGUCAGGUACCCCACCCACCACUGGAAUGUAAGCACCUGGCCAAAGGGCACGAAGGGACGCUCUUCUCUCCCACAGAAGAGUUGUGUCGUUUCCAUACAAGACGCCCUGGAGAGAGCGGCCUGGCAAGGCACACACCACCCCUGGAGGCAGCAGGUGCAGAACAGCCCUUACACACGCAUCCCAACAGGAGCAAGAGUGGCAAGAAGGAGGCAGCCGAAGGACACGGAUAAUCCAGAUAUAUUGAGGGUGGCCCCUCUGAGAUCAGCACAGGAGAGUUAGAAAGAUUAUAAAGAUACACGGUGCCUCCCUGCUCCCUGCCCNNNNNNNNNNNCCCCAGACAGACACACACAACACGACGGCCCGUUUCCCCCCGCCCCCCGGUACAAAUAUGGCUUCUGUGUAAUAUGGACAGAGUGGUUUAGCUCAAAGAGGGAAAGUCAUUUUCCCAAAAGCGGGUGCUGGGAGGCAGGGAGCCCACAGGCCCGGGGCCCUAGGCUGCCUUGCUGCUGUAAGAGGAGGGGGCCCAGGGCCCUAACCAGCGGCUGGAAGAUUCACGACAGUAUUACCUGAACUGAAGGGGGUGGGCAGACCUGCUGGCUGCAGCCGCCCCCACUUUGCACGCCCCUGGGCUGUCGGGACAGCAGGACAUGCUGGAGGAGGGUGAGAGGGGUGCCAAGGGGCACCCUGGGUCUGAGGCGGGGCGGCCGGCUGGCGAGGAGGACGCGUGGCCUCGUUUCCAUGGCAACUGGCUUGGCCACAAGGAAGACAGAAAAUCAAAAGCAGGGAUGGAAUGAAGAUGGGAAGGAGACAGGCAGUUUUGCUCCUAGCCCUCAACGCACCGGGUAUAGACUAUGGGGACAAGAAGUGACAGCGGUCAUUCCAGGAUGGGUGCUGGGGACGGCAUGGAAAUACCAGGAAGGAGCGACAUCCCAGAGCUCAAGGUGUGCGACUUACAGAGGAAAAGCCACCUCCUGCCUCCUGCUCACAACCUCCCCAACCCCGGAGAAAUCCAGGAAGAGGCCCUCAUGAUGGA